ensembl:piRNA 21ur-15333 ncRNA
UAGCUCUUCCGAGCGAGUUUU